rnacentral:rRNA from 1 species
GGGGAAUUUUCCGCAAUGGGCGAAAGCCUGACGGAGCAAGACCGCGUGAGGGAAGAAGGCUCUUGGGUCGUAAACCUCUUUUGUUAGGGAAGAACACAAUGACGGUACCUAACGAAUCAGCCUCGGCUAACUCCGUGCCAGCAGCCGCGGUAAUACGGAGGAGGCAAGCGUUAUCCGGAAUUAUUGGGCGUAAAGCGUCCGCAGGUGGCGAUUCAAGUCUGCGGUCAAAGACUGGGGCUUAACCCUGGAAAGGCCGUGGAAACUGAAAAGCUAGAGUGCAGUAGGGGUAGAGGGAAUUCCCGGUGUAGCGGUGAAAUGCGUAGAGCUCGGGAAGAACAUCGGUGGCGAAAGCGCUCUGCUGGACUGCAACUGACACUCAGGGACGAAAGCUAGGGGAGCGAAUGGGAUUAGAUACCCCAG